rnacentral:rRNA from 1 species
AGAGUUUGAUCAUGGCUCAGAUUGAACGCUGGCGGCAGGCCUAACACAUGCAAGUCGAGCGGUAGCACAAGAGAGCUUGCUCUCUGGGUGACGAGCGGCGGACGGGUGAGUAAUGUCUGGGAAACUGCCUGAUGGAGGGGGAUAACUACUGGAAACGGUAGCUAAUACCGCAUAACGUCUACGGACCAAAGUGGGGGACCUUCGGGCCUCACGCCAUCAGAUGUGCCCAGAUGGGAUUAGCUAGUAGGUGGGGUAAUGGCUCACCUAGGCGACGAUCCCUAGCUGGUCUGAGAGGAUGACCAGCCACACUGGAACUGAGACACGGUCCAGACUCCUACGGGAGGCAGCAGUGGGGAAUAUUGCACAAUGGGCGCAAGCCUGAUGCAGCCAUGCCGCGUGUGUGAAGAAGGCCUUAGGGUUGUAAAGCACUUUCAGCGAGGAGGAAGGGUAGUGUGUUAAUAGCACAUUGCAUUGACGUUACUCGCAGAAGAAGCACCGGCUAACUCCGUGCCAGCAGCCGCGGUAAUACGGAGGGUGCAAGCGUUAAUCGGAAUUACUGGGCGUAAAGCGCACGCAGGCGGUUUGUUAAGUCAGAUGUGAAAUCCCCGCGCUUAACGUGGGAACUGCAUUUGAAACUGGCAAGCUAGAGUCUUGUAGAGGGGGGUAGAAUUCCAGGUGUAGCGGUGAAAUGCGUAGAGAUCUGGAGGAAUACCGGUGGCGAAGGCGGCCCCCUGGACAAAGACUGACGCUCAGGUGCGAAAGCGUGGGGAACAAACAGGAUUAGAUACCCUGGUAGUCCUCGCUGUAAACGAUGUCGAUUUGGAGGUUGUGCCCUUGAGGCGUGGCUUCCGGAGCUAACGCGUUAAAUCGACCGCCUGGGGAGUACGGCCGCAAGGUUAAAACUCAAAUGAAUUGACGGGGGCCCGCACAAGCGGUGGAGCAUGUGGUUUAAUUCGAUGCAACGCGAAGAACCUUACCUACUCUUGACAUCCAGAGAAUUCGCUAGAGAUAGCUUAGUGCCUUCGGGAACUCUGAGACAGGUGCUGCAUGGCUGUCGUCAGCUCGUGUUGUGAAAUGUUGGGUUAAGUCCCGCAACGAGCGCAACCCUUAUCCUUUGUUGCCAGCGAUUCGGUCGGGAACUCAAAGGAGACUGCCGGUGAUAAACCGGAGGAAGGUGGGGAUGACGUCAAGUCAUCAUGGCCCUUACGAGUAGGGCUACACACGUGCUACAAUGGCGUAUACAAAGAGAAGCGAACUCGCGAGAGCAAGCGGACCUCAUAAAGUACGUCGUAGUCCGGAUUGGAGUCUGCAACUCGACCCCAUGAAGUCGGAAUCGCUAGUAAUCGUAGAUCAGAAUGCUACGGUGAAUACGUUCCCGGGCCUUGUACACACCGCCCGUCACACCAUGGGAGUGGGUUGCAAAAGAAGUAGGUAGCUUAACCUUCGGGAGGGCGCUUACCACUUUGUGAUUCAUGACUGGGGUGAAGUCGUAACAAGGUAACCGUAGGGGAACCUGCGGCUGGAUCACCUCCUU